rnacentral:rRNA from 1 species
GAGUUUGAUCAUGGCUCAGAUUGAACGCUGGCGGCAUGCCUUACACAUGCAAGUCGAACGGCAGCACGGGUGCUUGCACCUGGUGGCGAGUGGCGAACGGGUGAGCAAUACAUCGGAACAUGUCCUGUAGUGGGGGAUAGCCCGGCGAAAGCCGGAUUAAUACCGCAUACGAUCUACGGAUGAAAGCGGGGGACCUUCGGGCCUCGCGCUAUAGGGUUGGCCGAUGGCUGAUUAGCUAGUUGGUGGGGUAAAGGCCUACCAAGGCGACGAUCAGUAGCUGGUCUGAGAGGACGACCAGCCACACUGGGACUGAGACACGGCCCAGACUCCUACGGGAGGCAGCAGUGGGGAAUUUUGGACAAUGGGCGAAAGCCUGAUCCAGCAAUGCCGCGUGUGUGAAGAAGGCCUUCGGGUUGUAAAGCACUUUUGUCCGGAAAGAAAUCCUUGGCUCUAAUACAGUCGGGGGAUGACGGUACCGGAAGAAUAAGCACCGGCUAACUACGUGCCAGCAGCCGCGGUAAUACGUAGGGUGCGAGCGUUAAUCGGAAUUACUGGGCGUAAAGCGUGCGCAGGCGGUUUGCUAAGACCGAUGUGAAAUCCCCGGGCUCAACCUGGGAACUGCAUUGGUGACUGGCAGGCUAGAGUAUGGCAGAGGGGGGUAGAAUUCCACGUGUAGCAGUGAAAUGCGUAGAGAUGUGGAGGAAUACCGAUGGCGAAGGCAGCCCCCUGGGCCAAUACUGACGCUCAUGCACGAAAGCGUGGGGAGCAAACAGGAUUAGAUACCCUGGUAGUCCACGCCCUAAACGAUGUCAACUAGUUGUUGGGGAUUCAUUUCCUUAGUAACGUAGCUAACGCGUGAAGUUGACCGCCUGGGGAGUACGGUCGCAAGAUUAAAACUCAAAGGAAUUGACGGGGACCCGCACAAGCGGUGGAUGAUGUGGAUUAAUUCGAUGCAACGCGAAAAACCUUACCUACCCUUGACAUGGUCGGAAUCCCGCUGAGAGGUGGGGGUGCUCGAAAGAGAACCGGCGCACAGGUGCUGCAUGGCUGUCGUCAGCUCGUGUCGUGAGAUGUUGGGUUAAGUCCCGCAACGAGCGCAACCCUUGUCCUUAGUUGCUACGCAAGAGCACUCUAAGGAGACUGCCGGUGACAAACCGGAGGAAGGUGGGGAUGACGUCAAGUCCUCAUGGCCCUUAUGGGUAGGGCUUCACACGUCAUACAAUGGUCGGAACAGAGGGUUGCCAACCCGCGAGGGGGAGCUAAUCCCAGAAAACCGAUCGUAGUCCGGAUUGCACUCUGCAACUCGAGUGCAUGAAGCUGGAAUCGCUAGUAAUCGCGGAUCAGCAUGCCGCGGUGAAUACGU